CACAUGAUCUUAACCCGUAUGGUAACAAACAUUGUAUUGGGGGUGGAGAUGGGGAGGUGAAGACGAAGACCAUUUGCUGGUAAAUAGGUGGUGUCCCAAGACGUUUAGCCAGGAUUGCAGAUUAUGAGCACAAAAUUUCUUGGAGAUGAUUGUUGAGGGGUCGAAAAAAUAAUCAGCCACACCUCAUAGAAAUCUCGAGCUGACAAUCUAACUGGAAUUGUUUCCGAAGAGGUGACACGGUUGUUUGAGCCUUAAAUGUAGAACACAAUGAAUCUCAUUGACUGUUUUUUUUAGCUGAAGAAACUAGGCAAGCAGCUUCCAGACCAGGUCUUGCCUUCCUCUAUAAGGACAGCUUUUCAAGAGAUGUGGGCUAGUAAUGGUGAUGCAAUUAGUCGGCAGUAUGCUGGUACGGCUGCCAUGAAGGGAGACUUUACCAGGACCGGAGAGAGAAGAUUUACUGGCGUUAUGAAAGAUGGUUAUAAUUCCGCCAACAGGUUUGUUUUGAUUGCGAUCUGUUGGCAAAGGCAUUAAUAAGU